rnacentral:rRNA from 1 species
AGCAGUAGCCGCGGUAAUACGAAGGGGGCUAGCGUUGCUCGGAAUCACUGGGCGUAAAGGGUGCGUAGGCGGGUCUUUAAGUCAGGGGUGAAAUCCUGGAGCUCAACUCCAGAACUGCCUUUGAUACUGAAGAUCUUGAGUCCGGGAGAGGUGAGUGGAACUGCGAGUGUAGAGGUGAAAUUCGUAGAUAUUCGCAAGAACACCAGUGGCGAAGGCGGCUCACUGGCCCGAUACUGACGCUGAGGCACGAAAGCGUGGGGAGCAAACAGGAUUAGAUACCCCAGUAGUCCCUGUCUCUUAUAA